ACACACAGACGCGUCAGAAAAAUCAAUGCUCCCCUAAGACGUCCCUUGUUUGGGGAAUGCGGUUUUCUAACCGGAAGCUGCAAACCCCUUCCCGGCAGAGCGCGCCAGCCCCUUUGCUCACCCCCUGCCUCCCCAGGCCUGACUUCCGUGGGCUGCCCUCACUCCCAAAACCAGGGUGCUGAGUCUGCUUCUGUCCCCAUCCCGCCCCUGCCCAGGCCCCUGGGAUGGGUGGGCCUCCAGGUGCGCCCCACUGACCCGAACCCUCCGCCCCUACCCAGGCCCCUGGGAUGGGUGGGCCUCCAGGUGCGCCCCACUGACCCGAACCCUCCGCCCCUACCCAGGCCCCUGGGAUGGGUGGGCCUCCAGGUGCGCCCCACUGACCCGAACCCCCCGCCCCUGCCCGGGCCCCUGGGAUGGGUGGGCCUCCAGGUGCGCCCCACUGACCCGAACCCUCCGACCCUGCCCAGGCCCCUGGGAUGGGUGGGCCUCCAGGUGCGCCCCACUGACCCGAACCCUCCGACCCUGCCCAGGCCCCUGGGAUGGGUGGGCCUCCAGGUGCGCCCCACUGACCCGAACCCUCCGACCCUGCCCAGGCCCCUGGGAUGGGUGGGCCUCCAGGUGCGCCCCACUGACCCGAACCCUCCGCCCCUGCCCAGGCCCCUGGGAUGGGUGGGCCUCCAGGUGCGCCCCACUGACCCGAACCCCCCGCCCCUGCCCGGGCCCCUGGGAUGGGUGGGCCUCCAGGUGCGCCCCACUGACCCGAACCCUCCGCCCCUGCCCACUUCCACACCUGCUCGUCGACUGUGGAUAAUUGAGUUAAUUGCGUUCACAACGCACCCCUCUGGUUCCCCGCCCUGCGCGUGCCUCCCCCCUAGCCGGCCUCAGGGGGUCCCAUUCUGCACCCCGUUUAUCCGCAGUUCCGCCAAAGCCUCCCCCCUCCCCGCCCCCCGGCCCCCGCCCGACCCGGGCUUCCGACUCCCACUCGGGGUUUCCCAGGAAGCGGCCCCGCUCCCACCAGCAGGGAGGGCUCGCGUGGCCACGUGGCAGGGCGGGGGGCCCGGAUCCCAGCGACUCCCCCCAAGCGGGGCGCGGGCCGGGGAACGCGGUGGCGGCGGUGGCCUUGGCCGGGUGGCUGCGCGGGACCCGUGGGCGCGGGUCCCCGGGCGGGGCGGGGCGGGGCGGGGCGGGCGGAGCGCGGCGGGGCGGGGACGGCGCGGGCGCGACUGCGGCGGCUCGGGCGGGGGGCGGCGGCGCCAGCGGACACCGGAGCGGGCAGGAGCAGCGGCCGCGGCGCCGCAGGGACCAGCGAGCCCAGGUAGGCGGCCCGGGGCGGGGCGGGGCGGGGGUCCCUGCGCAGCCCCCCACCCUCUCCGGCCGUCCUCCCCUCCUUUGUCCCGGCCGCACCCUCCCGGGACCCGGGGCCGGUUCCUCCCCGCCCCAUCCCGCCCGCCCCUCCGCGGCGCACCUUGGACAGCUCCCGCCGCCUCCCCUCCCCCACCCGGAGCCCCCCGACCCCGCCGAGGCCCCCCCGCCGCCCCUCUCCGCAUCGGCUCCCCCCCCCACCCCCCACCUCCCCCCCCCCCCCGGCAGGGCCUCCUGUCACCCGCUCAGCCCUCCGCCCCGCUGCCUAGCCAGGCCCCUCCCUCGGCGCCCCCUCCCCGGGUGGGCUCCUCCUCCCCACCUUGGAGGUCCUGUUAG
rnacentral:lncRNA from 1 species